UUGAUGCUAGUAUUACGUUUUUUUCACCCCUGAUGCUAGUAUUAAGUGCUCUUUGUAAUGUUAUUGUGAUAGCCAUGUUGGCUAGGUUGCCAACGACUUUCCUAACACAGUCAAACAUCAAGCAAGUGGCUUCAUCUGGCAAAACAACUGUCCAGAAAAGGAGACAAUGCACAUUAUCGUCAUGACUAUUAUCAUUUUUUUUGUUAGAACAUGUUCAGUUGCUAACAAGACCAUCUCAAAAUACAUUUCAGUUAAUUUAUAGUUAGUGUUUCUGUUAGUGUGUAAAUAGUUUGUAAAGUGUAUAAAUAGUUCAGUUGUAAUAAGUGCAUAAACAAUUGCAAUAGUUGCAAGUUGCAACAAGUGUGAAUAUUCAUAAUUCAAAAUAAUUCUACCAGACAGACAGGCUGUCUCAUUGUUCACCAUAGUGUAAUGGCAUGUGUGUAUUAGUGCAAAGGUAUGUGGUGGCAUGUUUUUCAUUGUUGUUUUUUCAAUAAAGGGGAGAAAUUGCCCUUUAAUUAUGUGUCUAUCUUCAAUGUACCCAACCCACAUAGCUUUAGGUUUUUUUCCACCUCAAACACACAUCUGUAAAAUUAUGUAAUUCAUACUUAUGGAAAUAACUAUGUAGUCAUAUAGUCAGAUACGGACAAUAGGUCUACAUAGCCGUGUAUAAUCAAUGCCA